rnacentral:rRNA from 1 species
GAGUUUGAUCCUGGUUCAGAUGAACGCUGGCGGCAGGCCUACACAUGCAAGUCGAGCGGAUGAAAGGAGCUUGCUCCUGGAUUCAGCGGCGGACGGGUGAGUAAUGCCUAGGAAUCUGCGGUAGUGGGGGACAACGUUCGAAAGGAACGCUAAUACCGCAUACGUCCUACGGGAGAAAGCAGGGGACCUUCGGGCCUGCGCUAUCAGAUGAGCCUAGGUCGGAUUAGCUAGUUGGUGAGGUAAUGGCUCACCAAGGCGACGAUCCGUAACUGGUCUGAGAGGAUGAUCAGUCACACUGGAACUGAGACACGGUCCAGACUCCUACGGGAGGCAGCAGUGGGGAAUAUUGGACAAUGGGCGAAAGCCUGAUCCAGCCAUGCCGCGUGUGUGAAGAAGGUCUUCGGAUUGUAAAGCACUUUAAGUUGGGAGGAAGGGUUGUAGAUUAAUACUCUGCAAUUUUGACGUUACCGACAGAAUAAGCACCGGCUAACUCUGUGCCAGCAGCCGCGGUAAUACAGAGGGUGCAAGCGUUAAUCGGAAUUACUGGGCGUAAAGCGCGCGUAGGUGGUUUGUUAAGUUGGAUGUGAAAUCCCCGGGCUCAACCUGGGAACUGCAUCCAAAACUGGCAAGCUAGAGUAUGGUAGAGGGUGGUGGAAUUUCCUGUGUAGCGGUGAAAUGCGUAGAUAUAGGAAGGAACACCAGUGGCGAAGGCGACCACCUGGACUGAUAGACACUGAGGUGCGAAAG